CGCUGAAAUAAGAGCUUGCUCUUAUGGAUGAGUUGCGAACGGGUGACUAACACGUGGGGAACCUACCUUCUAGCGGGGGAUAACACAUAGAAAUGUGUGCUAAUACCGCAUAAUAGUAUUUGAUGCAUAUCAGAUAUUUGAAAGGCGCAAUUGCGUCACUAGAAGAUGGCCCCGCGGUGCAUUAGCUAGUUGGUGAGGUAAUGGCUCACCAAGGCAAUGAUGCAUAGCCGACCUGAGAGGGUGAUCGGCCACACUGGGACUGAGACACGGCCCAGACUCCUACGGGAGGCAGCAGUAGGGAAUCUUCGGCAAUGGACGCAAGUCUGACCGAGCAACGCCGCGUGAGUGAAGAAGGUUUUCGGAUCGUAAAACUCUGUUGUAAGAGAAGAACGUUGAUGAGAGUGGAAAGUUCAUCAAGUGACGGUAUCUUACCAGAAAGCCACGGCUAACUACGUGCCAGCAGCCGCGGUAAUACGUAGGUGGCAAGCGUUGUCCGGAUUUAUUGGGCGUAAAGCGAGCGCAGGCGGUUGAUUAAGUCUGAUGUGAAAGCCCCCGGCUCAACCGGGGAGGGUCAUUGGAAACUGGUCAACUUGAGUGCAGAAGAGGAGAGUGGAAUUCCAUGUGUAGCGGUGAAAUGCGUAGAUAUAUGGAGGAACACCAGUGGCGAAGGCGGCUCUCUGGUCUGUAACUGACGCUGAGGCUCGAAAGCGUGGGGAGCGAACAGGAUUAGAUACCCUGGUAGUCCACGCCGUAAACGAUGAGUGCUAAGUGUUGGAGGGUUUCCGCCCUUCAGUGCUGCAGCUAACGCAUUAAGCACUCCGCCUGGGGAGUACGACCGCAAGGUUGAAACUCAAAGGAAUUGACGGGGGCCCGCACAAGCGGU
rnacentral:rRNA from 1 species